AUGGAUGUCGCCAUAUCUGCAGUUGCAAGCGAAUUUGUUAGCCGCUUCAUCUCCUUCCUGGUAAACAAGUACUCUUACUCAAGCCAUGUCCGAUUGGAGGAGAAGGUGGAGAGGUUGAAGAAUCUCCUAAUGAGAGUACACAUGGUCGUUGAAGAGGCAGAUGGGAGAUACAUCAUGAACUCCAGGAUGAUGAUGCAGCUCCAGUUACUUUCAGAGGCCAUGUACCAAGGCUACCAUGUUGUUGACACCUUCAGCUACCAAAGUCUUCAGGACAAAGGCAUCAGCGAGGUUUGCAACUCAUCUGUUCUGCCUUCCGCCAUUCCUCUUAAGCGUACUCGCACAAUUGCAUGUACAAGAAAGGACAAAGUAGCGAACCUUGAGUUAGAUGGUGCCUUGGAAAGCAUGCAAAGUGUUGUGGAUAACAUGAUGGAGUUUGUUGUGCUUUUGGGUGGAUGUGACCGCAUGGUGCGUAGACCUUAUGAUUCAUAUCUUUACUAUGAAAACAUCAUGUUUGGACGCCAUGUCGAAAGGCAAACGCUGUUGAACUUCUUGUUGCAACAGAACCAACCUGGUGAUGAACCAGCUGUUCUUCCGAUCAUAGGUGGUCGCACAGUAGGCAAGAAAACAUUGGUUGCUCACGUGUGUAGAGAUGAGAGGGUGCGAUCGCGCUUCUCUUCGGUUUUGCACUUGAGUGGAGAAAACCUUUUGAAGAUUCUUGAGCAUGAAAGUACCAUCUUAGGGGAAAUGUUGGUAGUUGUUGAGUUUGCUACCAAUGUAGAUGACAAUGACUGGAGAACAUUUCACUCAUUUGUCAAAAGGUUGGCUACUGGUAGUAAGGUGAUCAUCAUAAGUAAACUUCAAAGAUCAGCCAGAUUUGGAUCAGUGAAGCCAAUUUUUCUCAAUAAUCUGUCUUACGAGGAAUUCUCUUACCUCUUCAAGACACUGGCAUUCGGAAGUGCAAACCCAAAAGAACAUCCACUUCUAGUACCAAUAGCACAAGAAUAUGCCAAGGUGUUGCACAUGGAAGAGUCACUUCUCAUCGUAAAUACAUUUGCAAAUGUAUUGAGGAACAACCUGAAUGUCCGCUUUUGGCUUUGCCUAUUUAACAAGAGCAGAAGAAUGAUUGAAAGGAACCUCUCCAUAUAUGGUGUGGACCUGAAAAUACAUAUGGAACAAGGUUAUCCGCUUCACUUAACAGAUUAUGCUUCGAAUCCACUGCGCGCGAUACCUUAUUCAACAACAGUUCCAAGGAAGAAGGAACUACCAAAGGUCACACUCGGGGAGCUCCUGCAAGAUCCUAGUGUUAGGCCAAAAGGGGAGUUCAAUUUAGUGACCUGGGAAUCAAUGAUUCCUCCUUAUAAUUCAUCCUCUUACUUUGUUCCGGACUGGGUUCAGGAUACGCCUGAAGGUACCCCCGUGUCAGGGAGGAAGCGACGAGGACUCCAUGUAUAA
rnacentral:rRNA from 1 species